AGCUGAGAUGGACGAGAUGAAGAUGGAGCGUGAUAUAGAGCGUGAGGAGCUGCGGAGGCAAUUGGAGCAGGAGAGGAGAGAGCGUGAGGAGGAAAAGAAAGAGCGAGAGGAAGAACAGAAGCAAAUUGCACAUCUUACAAGUUUGGUGACAGAGUUCUUAAAGAAAAAGACUUAAAUGCACAAGUCAUCUAUCCAUCAUGAUGGGCCAUGUAUUCAACUGGUGGUACAAAUAUUCGUUGAUACAUGGUGGAGUUAUGAGCAUGUGAAAUCUAGUUUCUGGUACAUGGAUAGCUUUUGUUCAGAUGAUCAUGGUGGAGUUGUCUACAAGCAGAAUCCAAUUUUUGGUAUAAGAAUAUUUUUGUCUACAUGAUGGUUGUUUGGAUGAAUAGCAACAUCAGAUAUUUUGGGAUUUUUAAUUUA